AGUAUGUGACAGAUUCUAACUGAUGCUGCUUUGCUGAAGAGGCAAAAACUGGAAAUUGAAGAACUUCGUAAAAAACUGCAGGGUUCCCAUUCUGAAGGGUUGGAGCAGGUUGUACUAAAACUACGGAACGACAUGCACAAGUCUGAACUUGAGCGUGAUCGGUUGGCCAUGGAACUUGAAGACAAAAGAAAGUUACGGAUGACUCUAGAGCAACAUUUGACUGAGCAACAGAAGCUAGAGGCCAUAUCGUCAGACCACUUUACAGAUUCAAUCUAGGAGCAAAUGGUUGCAGAGAAGGAAAGAGAGCUAGAAGAAGGAGAAGCACAAAAGUCACCCUCCAAGAUUGUUGCUGAUAGUCUCAGCCAGAUCAGCCGCUCAUCCACCUUCCUUCCAAACAUUGGUGUCCCUACAACGUCCAAGACUGGUCGG